rnacentral:lncRNA from 1 species
AGAGAGAGAGAGAGAGAGAGAGAGAGAGAGAGAGAGGUGUUUAUGAGAUAUAUAAUAGAGAGAGAGAUAGUAGAACUAACUAGUCUUGGAGUUUUUUUUAGUCAUAUUAAUUGUAGCGCAAGGGGACAAAUAAUAGAGUUUUAAGUAACUUCAAUGGAGUUUUAUAAGUCACAAAUUGGAGUUUUAUAGUCAUAUAUGUUAGUGUACGAGACAAAAGGGUGUAUCAUUUUGAUACUUCCUAUGCUUGGAAGAGAAUCCUGAGAGGGAAACAUAGCAGAACAAAAGUAUUCUAUGAAAGAUGGGUAAUUAGUAAUGUGAGAAAUGCUACCAAUACCACCAGAGGAUAUUUGUUCAAGGAGAAACCAGCAUCCUGCUUACAUGACGGAGGUCGGAUUGGGACAUGUCAUAAUUGAGACUUCACUUGUGGACACAAUAUCUAAUCGUUUUAUAUAAUUUAGUUGUAUCUUUCUAAUAGUUCAAGCUUUUGAAAUUAAUAAUUAAUAUCAACGAUCCAACAAGAUACAUGCAACCCAUCCAAAGGCUCCUAGUCUCCCACUAGGCUUAUCAACUUUUUAAUUUUUAAAAUAACCGAACGUCUUUAGUGCAAGUGGCAAAAGGGCUUGGCGGUUGUACCCGAGAUCUAAGUUCGAAACCUAGUUGAUUCAUAUUUCUAGCUAAGUUUAUUUUUAAAUGAAAUAAACGAAGCGGGUAAAAUGCUAUCUUUCUCUCAAAAAAAAUUUUUUUUUUGGCUAAAUUACAUAAAACCUCCCUGUCAAAAUCCGAUUUUUCACUUUUCUCCCUGUCAUUUAAAAACCUACACUUUGUCCCCUUAUAAAAUAAAAAAUAUUCACUUCGCCCUCUGUCGUUAGUAAUCCGUUAGGAUUCUAUUUAUAAAAUAUUAUUAUAUAUAUUUUUAUGCCAAAAAUACCCUCGGCCUUCUCUUCUAUGAACAUAGUGAAGGGCAAAAUGGUGAGAGGCAAAAUGAUCAUUUAUCAUCACAGUUCACACCGUAUCCCCUUGUGAACAUUUUUUAUUUUACAAGAGGGCAAAGUGUAGAUUUUUAAAUGACAGGGGGGGAAAAGUGAAAAAUCGGAUUUUGACAAGAGAAUUUUAUGUAAUUUAGCAUUUUUUUUUAUAACACUAAAACCUGAAUAUUUCUAUGAACCUUAGGAUAGUAAAAAUAUGUUUGAUUGCAGAACAACUCUCUCAAGAAUAAAAUAAAGUUAUACUUAGAAUAUCUAGCAAUUCUGGGAUAAUUAGGAAUAAGUGUAAAAUUAUGUUUGGUCUAAAUUUCUUUUAUUCCUGAGAAUAGUUUGAAAUUAUGUUUGGUACUCAUUUCGAGGAUAGUGGGAAUUAAUGAAAAACUAUGUAGUUAAAUAAUUAAUACAGUUGUGUAGUUAAAUAAUUAAUACAGUUGUGGNUUUUUAAAUUUUAAAUUUUAAAUUUUAAUUUUAUAUUUUGAAUUUUUAUUUUUAAUUUUUAAAAUUUUAUUUUUAAAUUUUGAAUUUUGAAUUUUGAAUUUUGAGUUUUGAAUUUUGAAUUUUAAAAUUUUAAAAAUUUAAUUGUUAUAAAUACUGCGGAAUUGUAUGAUAUGUAUCCAAACAGCUUAAAAAUGAAGCUGUGGAAUUUUUUUAUAGUUACAGGAUUCCGUAUUUCAUUUAGACCAAAACCAUAGAAUAAAAAUUCCAUGGAGUUUUUUAACUAUGCAUCCAAACAGGGCCAAAUAAUAGAGUUUUAAGUAACUUCAAUGGAGUUUUAUAAGUCACAAAUUGGAGUUUUAUAGUCAUAUAUGUUAGUGUACGAGACAAAAGGGUGUAUCAUUUUGAUACUUCCUAUGCUUGGAAGAGAAUCCUGAGAGGGAAACAUAGCAGAACAAAAGUAUUCUAUGAAAGAUGGGUAAUUAGUAAUGUGAGAAAUGCUACCUAUACCACCAGAGGAUAUUUGUUGAAGGAGAAACCAGCAUCCUGCAGCUUACACGACGGAGGUCAGAUUGGGACAUGUCAUAAUUGAGACUUCACUUGUGGACACAAUAUCUAAUCGUUUUAUAUAAUUUAGUUGUAUCUUUCUAAUAGUUCAAGCUUUUGAAAUUAAUAAUUAAUAUCAACGAUCCAACAAGAUACAUCCAACCCAUCCAAAAGCUCCUAGUCUCCCACUAGGCUUAUCAACUUUUUAAUUUUUAAAACAACCGACCGUCUCUAGCGCAAGUGGCAAAAGGGCUUGGUGGUUGGUAACCGAAAUCCAAAUUCGAAUCCUAGUUGAUUCAUAUUUCUAGCUAAGUUUAUUUUUAAAUGAAAUAAACGAAGAGGGUAACAUGUUACCUUUCUCUCAAAAAAAAAAUUUUUUUUUGGCUAAAUUACAUAAAACCUCUCUGUCAAAAUUCGAUUUUUCACUUUUCUCCCUGUCAUUUAAAAACCUACACUUUGCCCCCUUAUAAAAUAAAAAAUAUUCACUUCGCCCCCUGCCGUUAGUAAUCCGUUAGGAUUCCAUUUAUAAAAUAUUAUUAUAUAUUUUUUUAUGCCAAAAAUAUCCUCAGCCUUCUUUUCUAUGAACAUGGUGAUGGGCAAAAUGGUCAUUUUAUCAUCACAGUUCACACCGUACCCCCCUGUGAACAUUUUUUAUUUUACAAGGGGGCAAAAUGUAGGUGUUUUAAAUGACAUGAGUAGAAAGUGAAAAAUUCUGUUUUGACAAGAGGGUUUUCUGUAAUUUAGCCUUUUUUUUAUAACACUAAAACCUGAAUAUUUUUAUGAACCUUAGGAUAGUAAAAAUAUGUUUGAUUGCAGAACAACUUUCUCAAGAAUAAAAUGAAGUUAUACUAGAAUAUCUAGCAAUUCUGGGAUAAUUAGGAAUAAGUGUAAAAUUAUGUUUGGUCUAAAUUUCUUUUAUUCCUGAGAAUAGUUUGAAAUUAUGUUUGGUACUCAUUUCGAGGAUAGUGGGAAUUAAUGAAAAACUAUGUAGUUAAAUAAUUAAUACAUUUGUGUAGUUAAAUAAUUAAUAGAGUUGUGGUUGGAAUUAAGUUUGAUUUUAGUUUUUUUUGCAGGGUCUCGACAGUCUUGAUUUGUUAGAAUACAGCAUUUCACUUCUGAGAUAAUUUAUCUUAUUUUAAAAUAUAUAAUAAAAAUUUAAUAUGAUAAACUAUUUUAGUUAUCUGAUUAUAGUUUCAUCUAUCAAUUAUUACAUUUUUUGUUGAAUUAACUUAAUAGUCCCCAAUUUGAAAUUUUGUGCUUAUGGAACAAAGUACUCAUCCAAUAGUUCUCACAGAAGGAAAAUUCUAAUUUGAAAAUGAAUUAGUGUGACCAUUUAAUCAAUCGGCUGGGGAGAGAAAAUGAUUUUUCUUUCUCUGAAGCAGGGGAGCCAAACAAAGACUUCAACAAUGCAGGGCAGAAAAUCUGCUCUUGAGUUAAUUCCAUUAAAUAUAACAAAAAAUAUAAAAACAUCGUUCUUCGCAAGCUUAAGUUCUUACAGAAUAACGAUUGUUUCAUGUUAUUUAACAUAUCAGAGUAGAAGCUCGACUCACGCCAGACUCUCAGUAUAAUUGAUUUUCUCUCGUUUAAUUUAAAUUCAUGUCAUGAGCUAUAAAAAAGUUUCGAGUCCAGACGUUAACCAUUUGGAGAAUAAUUGUUGUUUCACAUUAUUUAACAAAUUUUGUAGCCUAACGAAAUUCCUGAUUAAAACCUUCAUGACAAAAUCUUAAUAGGCAUAUACAGUGUAGCUAGAAUAAUUUGGAGAAUAAAUGUUGAUGUCCAUAAUUUGGCAAGAUAGGGUACUUUAUUUACAAAAUAAUUUAUUUUAUCUGAAAAAAUAAUUUGGAGGCUGAAUGUAGUAUCCUAAUUCUAAACAUUUGAUCACACUACUCAUCAAUUAAAUAUACAAAUAUUUUAAGUAAAUUAUGAAAAUAUACCCAACAAGAUAUUCAUGGAUCAAAAUACGGACUAAAUAUCUUAUUUGUUAUAAAGUAAUGAUAUCUCAUCAUACAUUUUGAUGCCACAUUGCUUACCUAAGUACUUCAUUCUUUGCAAAAAAAUGGACAAAGCAUAUAUAAUAACUCAAUAUAAACAAUGAGUCCAUGCAAAAUACUUUUGAAAACACGUAACCCUCUCCGUAUUCAAAUUAUUUUCAAUGACAGGACAUAUGAUUAGACGAUUGGCUUUAUUGGACACGAUGCAUAUUAUUGGAAGCAUUUAGAAACUAAAUUUUAUAAUUUUUUUUAUCAUGAUUUAGGUACUACACAAGUUUUUUAUCAAAUUUUUACCUCAUUUGGAUCGUUCUACGCCAUUAAACUUAUACAUGUGUCACAGUGGCAAUUAAAAUUUACUAUUUUGGAAUUUUUUGAUUAAUGCUUCUAAUAAUAUAGAUUAUAUUUAAUGGAGUCAAUUGUCGAUUCGAAUGUCUCACCAUAAAAAAAAUUAUCUCCUCUUCUUUUUCUUUGGAGAGAAAGAUAGUAUGCUACUUAUUUUGUUUUUUUUUUUUUACAAAUAAAUAUAAUUAAAAAUAUGAAAUAACAAAGCUGCGAACUUGAAAUCUCAGAUACUGACCAUCAAAUUAUCUGCCACUUGUGCUAACGACUCCUCUUCAUAUAUUAAUGGCAUAUUUAACACUCACUACAAGGAAGCAUGGAAGCUUCUAAUUAUUGAGAAUUACAUAAAACAAAUUGAAGGCAUCCUUGGAUUUGUUAAUUAACACCAACUUUUUUUUACAACCACUCUAAAUCUUCUCAUGCAUGCAUUCAAGCGCUUAAUGUUUCUUAAUUCCUUUUUAAUCUCAAUGGCUUAGCAUUAUUCAAGAAGUCGAGGAAAUAAGCCUACAUGAUUAGUGAGAUUUAGUGAUAUUAGACUCAUUUACUUCAUACUGACGUAACAAUAAAGACCUGUUUGGUUCACAGUUUGUGCUCUUCUAAUUUUUUUUUUAUUUUUUGUUAAAAUAUUUAAAUUAUUAUCAUUCAACUCAAAUUAGAUAAUUGGAAACAAUGUUAAUUAGUAAAUUAAUAAAAUUAUUAUAAAUUUUUAUCUGAUAGAAAUAGUACUAAUUAUCAUGAAUUAGGAGAUAUCUUCGUAUCCAUUCUUAAGAAUGGAAAUCAUUAAUAGCCGAUUAAUAAAAAUAUACUAGUUCGGAAUAACCUCUCAAGCCAAGUAUUCCGACAAACUGGUAACAAAUUUAUCAUUAUUUUAAAUAUAAAAUAUGAAUAUUUUUAAAAUAUUACAAAUAAGGAAUCGGGGGCAUUUUUGUCUAAUAUAUAUGUCACACCCAUGUCAACAUCAUGUACUAAUGUUACAAAAACCAAUAUCUAUUCUACUACCACUUGUUGAUUUUUAGAUUAGAUGAAACAAAAGCACAGAACAUCUUAAGAAUGGAAAUCAUUAAUAGCCGAUUAAUAAAAAUAUACUAGUUCGGAAUAACCUCUCAAGCCAAGUAUUCCGACAAACUGGUAACAAAUUUAUCAUUAUUUUAAAUAUAAAAUAUGAAUAUUUUUAAAAUAUUACAAAUAAGGAAUCGGGGGCAUUUUUGUCUAAUAUAUAUGUCACACCCAUGUCAACAUCAUGUACUAAUGUUACAAAAACCAAUAUCUAUUCUACUACCACUUGUUGAUUUUUAGAUUAGAUGAAACAAAAGCACAGAACAUCACGGGAAAAAAAAAUUAGAAACUAAUUAGUGGAGUAAAAAUAAUUCAUUAAAAGAGACUUGCUUGGAAAGAAAAAGGAAAAAAAAAAAAAAGAAGAGAUGAUUGGGUGCAUGGUGGUGAACUGCAGAGAUAUCAACCAUUUAUCCUUGGCAUGCUUAGAAUUUAUGAUGGUGAUACUAUUAUUAAUCUAAGGAUGAAAAAAUUUAAGUGUAAAUACCGUUUAUCUAGCAUUAAUAGUAUUCCAGCUAGACUUUAUAUAUAUACAUACAGAGUCAAAUUUUACGAUUUUACAGCAUAAUUUGAGUGGUUUCAAAUUUAACAAUUUUUAAUGGCAAAUGAUAGANCAUAUGUAUCUUUAUAAAAUAAAUUAUUAUAUAAAUUUACUUUGCGCAUAUAUCAAUUUUAAUGACUUUUAUUUAAAUAGAUUUAACUACUAAAUUAUUUUUAUGUAAUUUUUGUUUAAUUAAUAAUUAGACUUAUAAAACUAUAUAAAAAUAUUAAAAAAAAUAAAAUUUAUUAUAAAAAUAAUUUUAUAUCCGCAGCAUCGCGCGGGUAAUUCACUAGUAAUUCAUUAAAAGAGACUUGCUUGGAAAGAAAAAGAAAAAAAAAAGAAGAGAUGAUUGGGUGGUGGUGAACUGCAGAGAUAUCUACCAUUUAUCCUUGGCAUGCUUAGAAUUUAUUAUUUGAUGGUGAUAAUAUUAUUAGUCUAAGGAUGAAAAAAUUUAAAUGUAAAUACUGUUUAUCUAGCAUUGAUAGUAUUCCAACUAGACUUUAUAUAUAUACAGAGUCAAAUUUUACGAUUUUACAGCAUAAUUUGAGUGGUUUCAAAUUUAACAAUUUUUAAUGGCAAAUGAUAGAAAGUGAAUUUGAGACUAUUUGAUCAAUGGCAAAUAAUAUUCAAACAUUUAAAUAUUUUUUGGAACUUAAGAAAUUUAAAUAAUCUGAAUCAAAGUUUAACGGUAUAAAUCAUCAAUUUGGAUUCUUUAUCUUUGACGACGAUGUGGAAGUAAAUCCCUCUGUUUCCUUCUAAAAGUAUUCUAGUCUAAUUCUAUAUAUUAGAGAGAGACUGCAUCUUUAUUUGUGCAAAUAGUGAUCGAGGAAACAGCCUAUAAUAAGUUCUUAUGAUCAGUUUUCUUUUUCUUUUUUUUUUUGAGAGAGAAAGAUUGCAAGCUAUCUGCUUCGUUUAAUUUAUUUUCGAAAUGAAACUCAGCUAUAAAUCUAAAAUAAAUAAGCUUCAAAUUUGCAAAUUUUGGUAUUAACCAUCAAACUCUUAGCCAAUUAUGCUAGCUAGGUAUGGCCAAUUAAGUGUUAAAUUUAUUAGAAGCUUAUAUUCUUCUUUUUAGUAAGUGCUAAAUUCAUGCCAUUAAUUUAUUGAAUUUAUCACUUACAAUGAGAGUGAGAGGAGACUAUUGUCUAUAUGAAGGACAAAUUAUACAUGGUUCUUUUUUUUUUUUCUUUUUCCUUUUUUUUGGGGUUGUGCCAAGAAGAAGCAUUUAAGUAAGCUAUGGAGCAACAAAAAUGUAUGCUAACAUAUCCUACAUUCCUACCUUUUGCCCCGACUUUUUUUUUUUUUCUCAAUAACAUUAAAUAUUACCGACCGUUUCUGACGCGAGUGGCAAUGGAGCGCUCGCAAUCGGAGACGGUGGGGAUUAAUUCAGCUAAAAUUCAACGGCGGGAUCAACCCCGUGCUUAGGAUGAGAUGAUCAAAAUAAAAAAAUGCAUCCAUUGGCAUACUGAAGACAAAAUAAAAGUGAAAUAACACAAAAUAAGACAUUAAUAACUUCAUAUAUUCUUUCAAAGGCCAAUUUGCAUAAAAAAUUCACAAGUUUUCAGCUUUUCCAAAACUAGGCCAUUAUUUUAGAUUUUGCAGAUUUGGUCCGAAUUUUCAGAAUAUUGACCAAAAUAUCCCUACUUUAUUUUCUCUCUCUUCUUUUGUUUACGCUCUUACUUUUCUCUCCGAUCCUCCUCCAUUGCCUCCGCAACCUUUCUCAACGGCAACAGAGCGGAACCGACUGUCCCUAGAGCAAGUGGCAAAGAGUUUGGUGGUUGGUACCCGAGGUCCCAAGUUCGAAUCCUAGUUGAUUCACACUUUCAGCUAAAUUUAUUUCUAAAUGAAAUAAACAAAGCGGAUAGCAUGCUACCUAUCUCUCUCAAAAAAAAAAAAAAAAAAAAAAAGAUUAAUAUUAGGAUUUUAAUCUUUUUGCUUCNCGCGAUUCUUUUUUUUUUUUCUCUCCGACUCUCCUCCAUCGCCUCCGCGGUCUUCUGCAACGGUAACAAUGGCGGCGCCGCCUCCUCUUCCGAUGCUGACACCGGAGGAAAAGGAUUCAAAUCGAAUGUAGAUGGGAGUGGAACGGACGGAAAUGAUAAAGUCAUAGCCGAGAUAGUGCUCAUUGUUAUUCAUCAGAGUAUGCUGUGCUUCUCCAACGAGUGCUUCCGGCGAGGGCGAUGGUUGAAAUAGAGGGCGAGGGAGAGACCGUGACAACAAAAAAAAAAUAUAGAGAAGAAAAAAAAUCAAAAUAAUAAAAGAUAAAAAUAUAAAAAUAAAAAAAAAAUUCCUACAAGGAAGACCAAAAGUCAUAAAAUAAGGAAGAAGAAAUAAAAUUGCACUAAUAGAGUUAUAUUGUUAAAAAUUUUGUUUGCACUGUUUAUAUGAAAGUUGCAUUAUUUGAGAUAAAAAUUAUACUCUUUGAGAUGAAAAUUACACUCUUCAGACAAAAAUUAUACUCUUUGAAUAAAAUUUACAUAAUUUCUCUUUCUCUUUCUCUUCUUCCUCAUCUUCCUUCCCCUCCGCUUUCUCGUAUCUUUUAUUUGUUCAUCUCAGGCCGGCGACACGCGAGAUAGAGACAGAAGAGGGUGUGGUGACAUCGAAGAAUGGGGCAAUGAAGGCACAGGUGGCGGUGGCCUGGCAUGCCUUCGCCCCACAAGAGGUGCACAGGCGGUAGGUGUCCAAACAUAGGCAAGGACUCCCCACCUUGCCUCUCCCUAGUGAGGGUUGCAUGGGUAAGAACACGACACACAUCCCGCCGGCACUUCUUACUCAUGCCCGUGCACCCCAUGCCUCACCUCCACCCGCACCGACGCGUGAGGGCGUAAUGAAGGGUGGAGGCAAGGUGGUGGCGUCAAUGNGGGCCGCCACUGCCUCCGCCUCCACCAUUGUCUUCUUUGGUGUCGUCGCACUCUCCUCCGCCUCUACCGCGCGCAUCGUCGAUCCAGGAUAGGUGUAGAAAGCAGAGGGGAAGGAGGAGGGGGAAAAAGAGGAAGAGAAAGAGAAAUGAUGUAAAUUUUACCAAAAGAGUGUAAAUUUUGCCUUAAAAUGUAACUCUAAUUUCAAAGAGUAUAAUUUUUGUCUCAAAUAGUGCAACUUUUAUAUAAAAACAGUGUAAAAUUAUUUUAAAACAAUAUAAUUUUAUUUUAACAGUGCAAUUUUAUUUUUUCUUCCUUCUAUGAUUUUUUGUCUUUCCUGUAUGGAAAAAAAUAUAUUUUUUAUUUUUAUCUUUUAUUAUUCUGAUUUUUUUUUCCUCUUUGUAAUUUUUUUUUGUUGUCAUGGCCUCUCCCUCGCCCUCUAUCGCAACCACCGCUCUUGCUUAAAGCGCUCUUUGGAGAAGUGCGACAUGUUUUCGUUCUCAUCCUCAUGAGCAAUAGUGAGUACCAUCUCGACUAUGACUUCAUCGCCUUCGUCCGUUCCGCUCUCCUUCGUUCGUUUCGCUCUCAUCCACACUCGUUUUGAAUCCUUCUCCUCUGGCAUCGGUAUUGAAAGAGGAGGCGACGCCGCCGUCGUUACCGUUGCAGAAGACGGCGAAGACGAUGGAGAAGAGUCAGAGAGAAAAAAAAAGGAACGUAACAAAGAAAAAAGCGGAGGAAGAGAAGGCAGGCCCUGUUGCCGUCGAGAAAGGUCACGGAAGCGGUGGAGGAGGGUCGGAGAGGAAAAAAAAACAUAAAAAAAGAAUAGAGAGAAAAAAAAAUAAGAGUAUUUUGAUCAGUGUUCUGAAAAUUCAGACCGAAUCUGAAAAAUUCAAAAUAGUAGCCUAGUUUUGCAAAAGCUGAAAACUUGUGAAUUUUUUUAUGCAAUUGGCCUUUUUCAAAAACAUUGACAGUUUUUUAAAAAAAAAUAUAUAAAAAUAACUAUAAAUACGGCAAUGAAAACAAAAAAAGAACUAUAAUUACGGCAAUGAAAACAUAAGAUCCGAAUCCUAUCAAUUUUCAGAUCUAGCAAGUAAAAAAGCACGGAAAAUCAUCAAAAACCGUACUCGUUGGACCACCAAAAUUUUCUUUUUCUCAAAAAAAAAAAACCCCCUUAUAUUCUAUACGUUAUGACUCCAACUCAUAACGAUAAGUUGCACUAGUCCCUGAACUUUCAGAAAAAUUUUAUUGUGGCCCUCGAACUUGUAAAUUCGACGCCAGCAGUGUUAAAAAUCUUUAAAAAAUUUUACUUUAAUCUCCGUAUUUGAAUUCAUAGUGCAUGAAUAAAUAAAUAAAAUAGAUAUAAACAGUAAUUUUUUUACUUAAAGGAAAGGACAAAAAUAAAAUAAUGUUUGAAAUUUAGGGAUCAAAUAGAAGCUUAUUAAAAGUUUGAGGAUAACAAUGAAAAUUAACUCAAAGUUCAGGGACUAGUAGUGCAAUUUACCCAUAUAUAGUAAUGGAAAUAGAGAUUCAAUUGUACUAGGUCCAGUAUGGUCCGGUAUAUAUACGCACGCAUGUACACAACCAUGUUAGCACAUAACUCCAAAUAGUACUCGGUUUUUUUUUAAAUUUUUUUUAAUAUUUUAUUAUUAUUAUUAUUAUUUUCCUUAUUGUUUAUAGUACUCUUUAGACCACAUACAUAAUUCAUAAUCCACUGUCACAUAGGAAUGAAUUUUUUUAGGGUAAAAAUUAUGGGCAUGUUUAGUUUCUGAUAUAUAUAAAUUUUUAAAUGUAUGAUGAAGUCUGUUAGAUAUGGCUCGAAAUCUAUUAUCGACUCAGGUUCGGAUUUACGACUCGCCGACAAUUUCGCGGUGCGACCAAAUUAAAAAAUUAAAUUGUGAAGGAAAAAUGAAUGUCUGUGGUGAGUCGCGAUCCGAAACCCGUUAUGAAUUUUUCUCUUCGUUUUUGCCUUAGAGGCGUGUGGUUGUGGUUGGUUGAAAAUCUGAAGAACAUUGUAUUCCCUAUUAUUUUGAUAGUGAAGUUCUCUCCUCCUUCGCCCGUGAUUUUUUUCCUGCAAAGAAUUUUUCACGUAAAUCUGUCUGUUCUUUCAUUUCUGCUUGUAGUUUGAUAAUUUUGUGUUCGUCAUUUCGUUUUCGUUUGUGCGUUUGUCGUAACAAAGUCGGUGAAGUAAAAAAGUACGAAAACUAAAAAAAGACGGAUUACAUAUUUUUUUUUGAUGAAGUAAUGAUUGGGUAACUUUUUCAACUACCUACAAACCACUAGAAGAUGAUUAAUAGCCAACUUAGUUGUAAUAUAAUUAUCUUGAAAUAUUUAUUAUUCAAUCAUUAUAUCAUCUUGAAAAAACAAUCUGUUAACUAAAUAAGUAGUCAAAUCAUCUUGUUAAGUGAUAAAUUAAUACCAUAUCUUUCUUAUAGCAUGAUAUACUGGCUGAAUUAGCUACUAUUUUGAUAUUUUGUUUGAAAAAUUAUUAAAAAAAUUAACAAAAUAAUCUGAUUGGAAUAGAAAAUGUAGUCCAAUGACUUGAUUAAAAUAAAUUAAAAUCCAGAAACCUAAACAAAAGUUUAUUUGAAAGUUUAGCGCCUAAUGGUAUAAUUUAAUCUUACACGGCAGAACACAUAUUUAGUGAUGAUUGUCCCCAGUAUGAGAUGCCAAUAUCCAUCAUUUAGUUGCAAUUCAUCCCAAUUUACAUAACGAACGGUAAAUAAUUAAUGUAAAAUGACUUGAUUGAAAUUGAAAAUGCAAUUUAAUGACUUAGUUAAAAUAAAUUAAAAUUCAGUGAUCUAAAUUAAUUUUUGCUGGAAGUUUAGUGACAAAUGGUAUUCUUUAAUCGCACAAUAAAUAGAACUAAAAUUUGGUGGGAGGCCUCCCAAACGUGAGACAGUCGCAUCCAUCGUCUCUAAGCUUUGAGAUUCAUAUCAAUUUGCAUCAAAAAUAUUAGAUGUUACGAUCUCACUUUGAGUGUUGUCUUCAUUGUUGGAUCGUGGAUACUAAUUAUUAAUCUCAAAUGUUUAAAUUGCUGGAAAUAUAUAAUCAAUUCGUUUAAAAUGUACAUCGUUAGAGCCCGCAAGUCUCAAUUUUGACUCGGCCCAUCUAGUCUCCCGCUAUUAUGAUCAUAACUUGGCCAAAUCCGACUUUUCACUAUUUAGAAAUACACAAUCAAUUCACAUAAAAUAUAUAUAGACAUAGCGCCCACCAAUUUCGAUUGUGACUCGAUCUAACCAGACUCACGCCACUUCAAACAUGAGUCGGCCCAUCCUGGCCUAUCGCUGCAAGGCAGAAUGCUAUUUUCUUUAAGCCAACAAUCCUCCCUCCCUCUUCGCAACAUCUGGGACAUGGUGCAAAUCGAACUAGUGAGCUCUGACUCUAAUACCUUGGAUAUCGUUGGGCUAACCAAUAAUCCCAAAAGCUAGAACUAUUAGAAAUACGCAAUCAAUUCAUUUAAAGCGUACAAACAAAAUGUCCAGAACCUCGAUUGUGACUCGGCCCAACUAAUUAUCUCACGCUAUUUCGAACAUGACUCGAUCCAAGCCGGCCUACCACUAUUUUGAACAUGGCUCGAUCCAAUCAAACCUCCUGUCACAAAAUAGGAUGCUGACCUUUUUAUGCCAGCACUUGUAAGCCAACAUCCGCUAAAUUUUUGUCCCAUGAAACAACACCGUUGUUUUUAUUUUUGAAAUUGAAGCGUGGAGGGAAGGAGAAACAAUGCGGCAAGUGCAACAUAACUACAUGCUAGGACUGUGGACCCUUCUAAGCUUCUACGCAAAACCUAAAAGAGAUUCUAUCAAAUCUCCACGGAUCAUUUCGCAUUCAACUCCAUUUAUUUCCCUCUCUAAAUGCGUUAAUUAAAUUUUCACAUAGGCAAAGUCCACUCGAUCGUAUGUUCGUACAUUAUAUACGUGCACAAAAUAUCUUCAUGUCCUAGAUAUACGAUCAAUUAUAUCUCAUAUUUUCAAUUUGCCGUUUAAUGCUUAUAUAUAAAAAAUUAUUGCAAUGUAAUACAAAAUCUAGACAUAGACAGGAAUGCAAAGAAAUGCAAACAGGACGCAUCUGAAGUCGGGAGACCCGUCCCACCUUCGGUUGUGCUAAUACCGACUCCGCCUCCACGACGGAGUAAAAUAUAUAUUUAAGAAUCCACUUCGCCUAAAAAUCCAUCUUUUAUCGGCACCUCAAAUCAGCCAAGUCAACCUUUUCUUUUUAAUUAAAUUAAUUAUAAUUAAAUAUUUAUUAUUUUAGUUAAAAUAAAAUUUUAAAAAUAAUAAAACUAUUAGUAAAUCUCUCUAAUAAAUCACAUUUAAUUUAAAAAUAACUAUUAUUUAAAACUCAUAUAAAAUUUUAAAAAAUCAAAAUUAUUUUAUAAUUUAAAUACUUCUUCAGGGGGGGUCGAGGGGGGACCGAUCAAUUUUUUCACCGUCUCCCAUUCCGAAUAUGUUUAGAAAAAUUAUCCUCGUUUACUGUUCUAAAUUUGUUUAUUGGUUUUUAUUUACUCUCCAUUCAAGACAGAGUGGGGCAGGAUUUACCUCACCCUGAAUUUUUUUACAUUUCUAGACCAAGAACAGACAAAUGCAUAGGAUAUAAAUAUGCUAGCACUUAUUAUUAUUAUUAUUGUUAUUUGUUAAACUAGUAGCAUGCUAUUUCUUUCUUUAUUUUUUAACAAAAUAAAUUUAGCUAAAAUAGUAGAGUAAUUAGACUUUAAAUUUGAAAUCUCAUAUAUUAAUUAUCAAAUUUUUUUUGCCACUUACACUAGAAUCAAUAAGUUGUUGUUGUUGUUGUUAUUAUUAUUUAUAUGAUUAGCAUGUAGGAUGCUUUAAUUGGACCACGCAGAACUGAAGUUUUAAAUUAGGAAAAACUUCAAAAACCCCCCUAUCAUUUCAUAGUUUCUCACUUUGCCCCCCUGUGGUUUAAAAUGUAUCAAUUUGCCCCCUGUGGUUUCGUUUUUAUAAUUUCGGUUGCUUUUUCGUUAAUAUUUCAUUAAAUUAUAUACAAAAAACUUCAGAUACCUAUAUAAAUUUAUCAAAUAUUCACUUCAACCCUUUAAUUUUAACUUUAUUACUGAUUUAAGAAAAAAAAAUAAUGAAAUUGAUAAGAAAAAGAGAAAAAAGAAACCAUAAGGGGACAGAUUGAUACAUUUUAAAUCAUCGGGAGGCAAAGUGAGAAACUACAAAAUCACAAUAGGGUUUUUGAAGUUUUUCCCUUUAAAUUAUGCACGCAGUUUAAAGCAUACGAUGAUGUAAGAAUACAUGUCAGCUUAUGACUGAGAGCGUCCUAAUACGAUGUAUUCUAUACAACUUUACACUUUCUACUUUCAAGCUAGGUAUAGAAAAGUUCCGGAUCAAAAUUUUAUAAUUUUUGUCUUACAUUGUCUCCUUUGAAUGGAAUAGUUGGUUUAUUAUUGAAAUAAAAAUAGAAAGUGUAAUUGAAUUGUAUUGAAAGAAAAAAAAAAAAUGGAAUGAUCAAUUAUUUAAAAAUAUUUAAUUUAUUAUUUGAAUGAAAAUUAGAAUGCACAUUUAGAAUUUUGAGAGAGAGUUUUGAUCAAUAGAGUGAAGAGUAAUUGAAGAAAGAGGAGGGAAAGUUGUUUGUGGGGAAGGAUUUUGAGUGAUUUACUCUGAAAUGAGUAAAUUUGAAAUUUAAAGUCGGAUUAGACUAUAAAUAAGUUAGAUCAUUUUUAUUUCAAAACAUAAUGGAAAUCAAAAUUCAAUUCAAUANGAAUCGAAAUUCAGUUCAAUGAUUAUCGGAAUUGAUGAACGUAAUUCAGAUUCUAUAUUCUAGAAUAGCUGGACUCCUUAGUAAAUUAAGCUUUAAUUUAAAACUUUUAUGAUAAAAUCUUAACCGUACAGUGCACUCCGUUUGUAUGAUAAUUUCUCUUCUAAAAUAUUUAGAGCAAUAUUAUCUGUACAUUAAAAAAUAUAUAUAUGAAAAUCUUAUUCACUAUUUAUAUAAGGACCAAUAUCUUUACAGUAGUAUUACAAAAUUUUAUUUAAUAUUAAAAAUUUAAAAAAAAGUAUAAAGUUUUAGAUGGAUGGAUAGAUGGGUGUAAGAUUGACACCAGGCUUUUGGGCUUUCAAGUAGCAUUUCACACUGAGCAAUGUUGCAUGUUUAUCUAAAAAAUGGAUAUAAAUUUUAAAUUCUAUUGAUUCAAGAGUCUAUAUCUUCACACUAGUUUUAUUAAUGCUUUUUAUUAUUAUUAUUAUUAUUGUACUCUUAAAAAAAGUCUAAAUUUUUUAAUAAAUGAGUGUAAGAUUUACAGUACAUUGUUUAGCAAACAAAUUAUAUUUUUCUUUCUAAAUUACUAACUUCCUACAGGACGGCACUACCAUUAUUUAAACUAGAAGAGUGCUAAGACUACGAUCCAUUUUGACUUAUAAUUCUACAACAAACCCAACCUAGUAACUAUCUUUUUUUCAUUUGUCUUAUCAUUUUUUUUUUCCUUAUUUACUAAAUACCAAAAAGGAUUAAUAAACUCUCGUCAUCCUUAGAUAAGAGAUGGUAGGGAACAAAAAAAUUUCUUUUGUAAAUGACCUUACUAAAAUUAUAAACGUAGAAAUGAUACUAUAUUACAUAUGCAGAUGCCACGUAAAAUAUUUUAAAUGAACAAGAUAAUUUAUUCAGUGUUUUUAUUUGUUACCGUCUCCACUUAAAAAUAUUUUUCUCUUAUCUCACAUCGCGUUCGCUUACCUGUACAAAUAUAAGAAUGUUUCUAUAUUUAUACUUUUGUUAGGGGCAUUUGUAAAUAAACUUUUGCAAAGGGUCUAAGUGCAUAAAGAGUUUAAAUAUAAUUUGUACGAGAAUAACUUCUAAUAAGUGUGAAAUCGUCUUAUUCACCGUCCAUUGCAUAGGGUAGCACGUAUCUGAAAGUAUGAUAUACGGUGGGUAAAAUCGUCUCACCAUAGUAGAGACUAUUAUUUGUGUACUUUUUUUUUUAUUAUUAUGUUUUUUGGAUGAUAGUGUUUCUCUUGUUUAAAAUAAAAACCGCGCAAACUGCUGCUUGUCACUGAUUCUUUCCCAAUGGAGCACCCGGACGGCCGGAAGACCUUCUGGACCUACCUGCAGGAAGAAGACCACAGCUGCGUCCGAACAACAACCCCCUUCUCCCCCUCCCCCCUCCAUCACCACCACCGCCGCCGUCACGGCCAACACCAACACCAACACCAACAACACCAACACGACCGCUACCACCACCCGGGCAGCCCCUUCAGACCCCACGACCUGGCCUCCUCGGCCGCAGCCUCCCCCGAUGCCCCGCGGUUUUCCUCCACGACGGCCACCACCGCCCCCUCGUCCCCGGCCGCCUGCCCCUCCCCCUGGACCCUCUCCCCUCUUUCCCCUCUUUCCCGCCACGGCCGCAGACACCGCCGCCCCCCCCUNCCCCCCGCGGCUCCCCCGUCCCCGCCCUCCUCGCCCACGGCUCCUCCCUCUUCACCGCCCACUCCGACCACCGCGUCCGCCUCUGGUCCCUCUCCUCCCCCUCCCCUUCUCCUUCCACCUCUUCCAUAUCCUCCUCCUCCUCCUCCGUCCACGCCAAGAAGACCGCCACCCUCCCCGCCCGAUCCCCCGCCUCCUUCCUCGCCUUCUUCGCCAGACGAUACCGAAACCACCACCACCACCACCACCAGCACCCGCACAAGGACGCCGUCUCCUGCCUCGCCCUCUACCACGCCGAGGGCCUGCUGUACACGGGCUCCCUCGACCGCACGGUCAAGGCCUGGCGCCUCGCCGACGGCUCCUGCGCCGACUCCUUCCCCGCCCACGACGCCCCGCUCAGCGCCAUGCUCGUCGACCAGGCCGACGGCUGCCUCUUCACCGCCGCCGCCGACGGCUCCGUCAAGGUCUGGCGCCGCGUCCUCGGCGGCGACGGCGCCCACGCCCUCAUCUCCGUCCUCCGCUUCCAGCAGUCCCCCGUCAACGCCCUCGCCCUCGCCCUCGCCGCUUCCGCCCGCUCGACGAUCCUCUACUCGGGCGCCUCCGACGGCUACGUCAACGUGUGGGAGAAGGCGGCCGGCUCGGGCCGGUUCGACCACGCCGGGUUCCUGCAGGGCCACCGCUUCGCGGUGCUGUGCCUCGCGGCGGUGGACUGCGUCGUGAUCAGUGGGUCGGAGGACACCACGAUACGCGUGUGGCGGCGCAGGGAGGGCCCCUGCGGCGGAGGCGGGGGGGGCCUCCACGCGUGCCUGGCGGUGAUCGAGGGCCACCGGGGCCCCGUGCGGUGCAUGGCGGCCACUGUCGAGGUGGAGGCCGAGGCGGAUCACGGCGUGGGCCUGCUGCUGUACACCGCGAGCCUGGACCGGACGGUGAAGGUGUGGAGGAUAAAGGUGAUGGGUAAAGACGAAGAAGACGAAGUAGAAGACGACGAUGACGAUGACGACGAAGACCACGACCACGACCAAGGCUUCAGAGGAGCCGCUUAGGUUAGUUUAAUUAAUUAGCUAGGGAGAGAAUACUUUAAUUUGCAUGUGAAUUGUAUUAAAGAUCUAGUUUUGGUGUGUUCAACUUUAACUCCGAACUAAUUAUAUGAGUCUUUAGUAGCUAACACGUAGAGAAUAUACAAGCCUUGACCUUGUAUUUCGAGAAGUUCAUGCAUCACAAACAUAAUCACUUUUUUUUUUUUUUUGUAAUUUUUUUCUCAGAUAAAAACUGGUUGGCAAAUUUAUUAAGCUUAAUACGUUGCAAUAGUAGUAGAAACAUCAAGAAAAUCACAAGCAAAGAGAUUCAGAAAAGUAGCUAGAGAAAUACAGUUGCACGAAUGUGUACGUUAACCUACUCAGGCCAUAAAGAGAAAAUAAAUAAAAGAGAAUAUAGGGUUAUGGAAACAGAAUCUAACGUACCCACAUGAUCGCAUCUGUUGAUAACGUACAGACCACGGAGCACGAGGUGUACCAAUACACCUGGUGCAGGCAUAAUGAUUUCUCGUAACUAAGGGUUUUAAUGGGCUGUGUAAUCAGGCUGGGCCAAUGCCCUUUUUUAUUUUUUUUUUUCUCAAGGCGAGGCAAAGUUGAACUAGGGAUGCAAACAGGGCGGAUCGAGGGGCGGGAGGGACCUGCCGCCUUCAUUCGAUUUUUUUUGGCUUGUCGAGACAGAUUUGAGAUGAGUUGAGUUUAUACUAUUAGCUAGUAACCCUCACUUACCGCUUCAUUCGGGGCGAGUCGAGACGCGAGCGAAUCUUUGACGAUUUUUUGAUUAAUUGGGAUGGAUCAAAAGAAGGGAAGGGUUUUCCGUAUUCUAUUCCAUUUCUUAACUGUCGGGGCAGGCAUGAUGCAAGUUUUUUUUUUUUUUAUUUUUUAUAUUUGGCUCUCACUUUUCAUCCUAAAUGAGACGGACGAAGACAGUAUCUCUACCGAUCUGAAUCCAUUUGCAUCCUUUUAACAAAGUCCUAAAAAUAGAAGGAUAAAUGCCAACUCCACAAAUAAAAGAGUCUUUCAAUCUCUAACCUUUUUUUUUUAAAUUUUAGUUAAUAUAAAAAUAUUGAUAAGAUUGUUGAAGGAAAUUAGCCUUUGAAUGAGAGUGUUGUAGAAUUAGAACCUCUUUUAGAUUGUAGCUAGUAUUAUUCAAAUAAUAUACCUCAAAGGGGCCUAGCCCAUCUCUUUUAGACUGUAAAUCUAGUAUUAUUCACAAAAUAUAUCUUAUAGGGCUAUGAUUUUAAUAUAAAAUUAUCUUAUUAAUUAGAUAAUAUGAUACAUAUCCUAUGUGGCCUAAUGCUUCGCCAUUUAUUAGAAAUAAAGGGUAGUUUAGUUUUUUUUUUCCCCCUUAUUAACUUCUAAAUCUCAACCUAGAAUAUAUUAUGAAAUAAUUACCAACAUAUUUCUCAAAAAUACCCGACUUUUUUAUUUACUCCUGAAACAUAUAAGUGUAUUAAAAUGACAGGUAGAAUAUUUGAAGGACUUUGGAACUACAGAGAAAUAAAUAUCAUGACUUAAAAACUGCAUGUCUACUUUUUUUUAAUUAUUAAAAAUACUCGUAUUCACUUAUAAGAAAUUAAAUUACCAUACAAAUAGGAGAGAUAAUAUAUAACUUGCAAAAUAGUACUUAAUUACCCCAUGAAACUAGGCAUUCUCAACAUAUAAUGAGAAAAUCCGAAACUAAAUUAUAUCCAAAUUAGAAAACCACACCACAAAUCACUUAAUUGGCUCCUAAGCCCCUCAGAAACUCUCAUCAUCUCUUGGAAGAGGUUGAUGGGUCCGAACCAAAAAUAUGUGCUCGUAAACCAACCCGCCGAGCCCACCGCCGAUAAUCGGCCCGACCCAGUAGACCCAGUGGUCGGUCCAGUUCCAGCUAGCCAGGGCCGGCCCGAAGGACCGUGCCGGGUUCAUCGACGCGCCCGAGAACGGCCCGCCGGCUAAGACGUUGCCCGCGAUGACGAGCCCGAUAAGCACCGGGCCGAGCCCGGCGGUGCACCCCUUCUUAGGGUCCACAAUCGUGCCGUAGACGGAGAAGAGCAGCGAGAAAGUGAGGACUAUCUCCAUAAGAACUCCUUGAAAGGCCCCAAUUCCAGCCGCGAGGGCGUGCACUGGCGUGUCCUGCGACAUCGAGAAGAGUUAAACAUGAAUAUUUUAUCUCGCUUCAGUCUAUACAGAAGUGCUAUUUGAGUACAGCUAUUCGAAGAAGCAAUUAUUAAUCUUUUAUUAUAGAAACUUCAUUUGUUUAUUUCAACUUUCCGAAAAACAGACAUAUGAUUGGGCCAAAGGUGUUUCUGAAGCCCCUCCAAAAAAGCACUUAUUAGUUUUCAGAUUGUUGCCAACAAAAAUUUUGCUGAGAGCCUGUUUAGUUAUGCUUGUAUUUGGCAUCUCAGUUUUGAUUGCUUCCAACUAUAUUUUGAAUAAUAAUAAAAAAUCUACAAUGUUAUAUUAGUUAGCCCAAUCUGUAGAUGAUUAACUUUUAUGUAAUUCACGCAUGCACAAUUCCAAGUUUGUAAAGUCGAGUAAUGCUAUCUGUACAUCUAAACAUAGUAAAUUUUGUGGAUCGUAAGCGAUAACCAACUAUCUCAAAAACACGUACUGAUAGAAAUGACGUAUUCAUCGCACUUAAGGGCUUCGUCACAGUGCUUUACAGAUUUCGAUCUGACUCAGCCCACCUGCACGUUAGGUUUAUUGUUUGAUCUCUUAUCGAUUAUAAUUAUUAUCGACUGCAGCCUUAUUUAACUUAUUGGGCUCACCUAACUCAACUUAUUAGUCUGCUAAAUAUAUUAUUACAGGCCAGAAAGUUGAGCUUAUCUUAGCUAAUAAAAAAUAACUAAAAAAUCUUACACCCUCUGAUUCAAGGACUAAUAUUGGACUUUUAUCUUGUUAACUUUUUUUUUCAAUACUAAAAAUCUAAAAAAUUUUCUAAACACUAAACUGAGGGAAUGUAUAUGUAGCAUUUUCCUAUAAAGUGAGGCCACUUAUAUUGAUUAGUCAUGCGAUCAUUGACACGUAAGCCCCACCGCAACACACUAAUUUCUUAAUAAUAAAAAAUAAUUAUAUCUGGUUUACUGCGCUGCUGCGUCAUUCCAUAACUACUAACAAGUUUGUAUUAUUUUAUAAAUUAUAAAAUUUUGUAGGUAGAUGUUUUUUUGCUUUUUUUUUGGUAGGCCCGAUUUAGUGUUAUAUUUUCAAAGCAUCCAAAUUUAUAUCUUGAAAGUAACAUGCAUUAUAAUAAUUUCUUAAUAAGAGAAUAUAGUUGUUACAAAUAAUCCAAAGUAUAGCCUCCCUUAAUGAUUGGGCAUCGGUAUCCAAUAAAAUUUCGUACCUUUUUUUUUUAUUUACUUGUUAGAUACUUGUGAGUUGUGACAAUAAUUUUAUGUUCUGUUUUUUUGUUCGAAAUAAACUAAGUAAUCAUGUUUUGAAUUAGAAAUCACAGUUAUAAAUCAUUAAGCUUUUAGGCAAUUGUGAUAGAUACGAUCGACAUUUAUAUCGUUUUUAUAUUGUAUCUGACCUGUUUGGUAUCAUUCUAUACCUAGUAACAACUUUUAGUGCAUUAUUUUAUAAACUAUAAAAAAUUUUGGAUAGAUUUUUUUUUUUUUUUUUGUGCAUUUUAAAGCAUCCACUUCUAUAAUUUGAAAUUGACAUGUAGCACAAUAAUUUCUUAAUAAGAAAAAAAUAGUUGUUGUAAUAGUCAAAAAAAUAAUGUCCCAUUAUUAGGCACAGAUAUCCAAUAAAAAUCAUGUUCAUCUUGCAUGGGUAUCCAAUGAAAAUAUAUACUUUUUAUAAAAUUUUAUAAUUUUUUUUCUUUUAAUUGAGGACGGUUAUCUAAAAAAUUCUUCCUGUUUUAAUUUAUAAAUUUAUAAACUAUAAAAUUUUAUGGAUAGUUUUUUUUUUCUUUUUUUCUUAGGCCUGAUUUGGUAUUGCACUUCUAAAGCAUCCAUUAAUAUUAUAUUUUAAAAUUCACAUGUAUUGUUUUAUAAACUUUAAAAUUUCAUGGAUAUAUUUUUCCUUUUUUUGAUUGGAUACGGGAAUCAAAUAAAAAUUCGUACCUUUUUUAUAGUCGUGUUCUAUUAUAUUUUAUAAACGAUAAAAUUUUAUGGAUAGGUUUUUUUUUUUUAGCAUAAUUUACUAUUGUGUUUUUAAGGCAUCCAAUUUUAUAUUUUGAAAUUCACAUGAAGCACAAAAAUUUCUAAAUAAGAAAAAAAUAGUUUUUAUAAUAAUCCAAAGGAUACCAUCCCAUGAUUAGGCAUAGGUAUCCAAUAAGAAUCCGUUUGAACACAGUAUCCAAUAAGUCCAUACUAUUUAUAAAUAGUCACAUCAAUGAUCAAACAAUAUAUAUUGACCAACUUAUGCAGUAUUUUAUAAAAAGUAAAUUGCACGUCUGGUCCUCAAACUAUAAGACUGCUGACAUUUUAGUUCUCAAACUUUAAUUUAUUAUAAUUUCUGAUUCAAACUUUCGAAGCUAUUACAAUCAAAUUCAAUAUGAAAAUGAUGUAACAGUAUUGUUAUUAAUGAUACCACAAUAUUCUUUUGUCAGUAAUAUGUUAAUAUUUAGACAACAAAAUAAUGGUUGCGGAUUUUAAUUAUAACCAAUCUGAAGAUUCGAACAAAAAAUAACAACACUUUAAAAUUUGAAAACUAAAUUAUCGCUCGCCUUAUAGUUUGAGAACCAAACUUGUCAUUUACGCUUUUAUAACCUGUAAAAAAUUUUACCUACUGUCCACUUAUGCAUUAAUUGGUUUAUAAAUUGUAAAAGUUUAUAAUCAAAUCCUACUGUCCACUUAUGCAUUAAUUAGGUAUAUUUAUAAAAUUAAUAAUAGGGAUAAAUUACAGUUUUGAUUUGGGGGUGUGUUUAAUUUAUUAUAAUUUUUUAUCACUAUAAACUUUUAAAUUAUUAUAAUCAAAUCCCGCAACAUAAUUUUUCUUAUUAAUCCAAAAAAAAAAUUAUAGUUCAUGAUGCCUGUAUAGUUGAAUUUUUUUUUUUUUCUUUGUAACAGUUUUCUCAUUUGAGAUAUAAAAUCUCACAAAUCAAUCGUAUUGUGUGGUGACAUGUGAUUGAUAGCAAAACGUCUAAUAAAAAAUAAUUCAAUAAUGUUGUGUUAAAAUAUAUUUAUUAUUUUAGUUUAUCUACUACGUAUGCAUAGAUCAUUGAUUGAAUAUUAUUAAUCUUAGUUGGAAUUAAUGACUGUUAGAGUAAGUUUUUCUCAUAGUUUUCUUCUUUUUUUCUUUUUUUUUUUUUUUUAUAAAUACUAAAAAUUUAAAGAAUUCGUAUAUACACUCUUUUGGAGUGUACCAAUUUUCUAAACAUAUAUUAUUUUUACUGUAAGUAGAAAAUUUCGAAUUUACCUUGCAUUUUUUAAAAUGCCCUUCCAAAUUCAAUUCUCAUUAGUAACCUUAGAGUAGGAAUAUAUUUAAAAAAUAAUCUAUAAUUUAUAAGGAUAUUUUAGACCAUCAGAAGGACAAGUUCAUUAAUCUAUGUACCGAUGAAUUUAUUAAGUAUGUAACUUANUUUUUGAUUUUUUUUUUUGAAAAGUUUCUUUUUUCAAGUAAUGCCACUAGUACGUACCAGAAAAAGGUAUAAACAAAAUUUACACCCUCUGCCAAAAAUUUACCAUUGUUCUGUCAACUUUUUUUUUUUUUAUAAAUACUAAAAAUUUAAAGAAUUCGUAUAUACACUCUUUUGGAGUGUACCAAUUUUCUAAACAUAUAUUAUUUUUACUGUAAGUAGAAAAUUUCGAAUUUACCUUGCAUUUUUUAAAAUGCCCUUCCAAAUUCAAUUCUCAUUAGUAACCUUAGAGUAGGAAUAUAUUUAAAAAAUAAUCUAUAAUUUAUAAGGAUAUUUUAGACCAUCAGAAGGACAAGUUCAUUAAUCUAUGUACCGAUGAAUUUAUUAAGUAUGUAACUUACCAGACCGCCGGUGAGGUACUUGAGAAGCAGGCAGGCUAAGGCAGAGCCGAGCAACUGCGCCAGUACGUACAGCAGGGAUCGGAAAAGGGUGAUGUGGCCGCCGACGGCUAGGCCCAGCGUCACGGCCGGGUUGAGGUGGCCGCCGGAGAUGUGCAGCCCCGCCGCGAUCAUUGCCGCCACCACCAACCCAUGCGCUAGCGCCACUGCCGUCAGCCCCAUGAUCGUGUCUGUUCCCCCCGCCAUUUUUCCUGUAUCCUCAUGUAUCGUCUUGAAUGAAUACACAAAUUAUAUUGAAAAUAGUCUUUAAUUUUGAUCGUGCAAGUAUUAUUAUUUUUUUCAAGUUAAAAUAUUCAGAAUUUAUCUCAAUUAUUGACCAUUUUGAAUAUAAAUUAUAUAAUUUUGUAAAAGUUUUAAUUUUACUAUAUAAUCUUUCAAUUUGCUUGGAAUGAGCCAAUAAACAAUGAUUUAACUUCAAAUUUAAGCUAAUUACCGAUUUUAAUGAAUUUCUAGUUGCGAUAAUUAUGUGAAAUAUAUACGUUAAUUAAAUAUGUGAAAAUAAAUAAUACAUUCAACUUUUAAAGUCAAAAUAAUGUUGACUAACUCAAAUCAAAUAAAUUGAAAGAUUAGAUAGUCAAAUAAAAGGCAGUCCAUAGUUCGAAUAAAUUCUAUAUAUUUACUCCUUAAAAAAAUUAUUUAAUAUUAUUAUUUAAUAUGGUAUUAAAAUAUUUUCAUGCUAAAUGCGAAAAUAUGUGGGUCACACAGUGUUCCCUUUAAAUUUUCUUCUAUUUUGAAGAAUGCCAUUUUGUGAGAUUUGAACUAACGAUCACACACAACUCGAGAUGAUUAGUGUUAAAGUAUAUGAAACUGCUGUUAUACUUUAAAAACUACUCAAGCUAUUAGAAAAUAGUAUUUUUAAUAUUUUUAUUCAACACUCUAUCUCCCCCUCACGUUUGAACUCGAAAUAUUUUAAUACGCUCAAAAUAUGGACUUAAAUUAAAUAAAAGAAAAUCAAUUGUAUUAGAAGCUUGAUAUAUAUGAGGACCUUUUGUUCUGAUACUUUAUUAAAUUGUUUGAAUUUACAAUGUAAUGAACGAUGCAGGAAAAAAGUCAUGAAUUAUCCGCCACAUACCAGCGGCCAUGGCGGCGGCGACACCGGCGAAGACGAAGAGGAAGGUGAGGAUCACCUCGGCGGCCACGGCGCGGACGCAGUCGGGCUCCGCCGCCUCCUGGUGGUGGCCGAGUGCUAUCUUCACCAUCUCCUCUCUCAGCGAAGCAAUUGAGUGUUUUUACACGGAAUAAGAAUGCGAAUGUAUUGAGAGUUUUUGUUACAACAAUCUCUGCCCAGCCCCGUUUAUAUAGAAGCAGAGUGAUUGACUAUGUCAACAAAAGGCCCUUUUUUAAAUUUUUUUUUAAUUUUUUUUUAUUUUUACUCCUGUGGGAGGGAAAAUUCUAGAAUACACCGGGUAUAUUAGUGACAUGGCGUCACCACUACAACAGAAUUGGGUUAUAGGGACACAUAUUUGAGACACUUUUGAGUGUCCCAUUUAUGCUAAAAUUUUAAAAAACAUCUACUAAUGCCUAAAUAUAAAGUCCAAUCCAACCAAAAAUAAAAGAUUACUCUACUCAACCCACCACACCCAGUCCAUUUGUCCCGAUUACAAAUAGAAAAGAAAAAAAAAAAGAAAAAUCAAUUACCAUCUUUUCUUCUCUCUUCACUCAAUCCACUGAAAUUUUAGACGAAGAGUCUUUCCUGUCGUCCUCCUUCGCUACCGCAGCCAACGAGAUAGAAUUUCAACGGUUGCUAAAUGCUUAAAUAAGUUUUGAUAAAUUAGCAGCACUCUUUUAAAUUAUAGCGACACUCUUUAACUGUCACUAUAUACCUAGCGACCUCACAUAUAGCAACACUUUUUAAAAAUGUCGGUAAUUUUAGCUAGCAGUACUUUUUGGACAUGUACCUAUAUUUAAAAGUGUCGCUAUAGACCAUUUUUGUUGUAGUGCACAAACCAAUCAAAUAAAUUCUUUUAAAGAUAUAUGUCUCAUCAUGAUUAUAAAAAAAUAUUUUUAUUAUACUUUUAUUUGAAAAAAAGAUAUGUGAUUGACUUGUUAUUGAUGACGUGGUGCAAGCGUGACAGUGUAGAACUUCUCUGUGGGAGGGAGGAGGACUCCAGUUUAUCUCUCGUACUGCAUUAAAGUCAGUGAUUUGUCGCUUAUGUAGUCGUUAUUGUCUUUUUGUUAUGCGCUUACCCCACUAUUGUAAUAUAAGGGAGAUGAUACAUAAAUGGACGAGAAAUUAUUGCACGGAGCAAUUAACAGUUAGUCGUUUAUUAUUAACUUUCAGUGUUUCAAAAUAGUUUCGACCGUAAUCCAGUUAAUAAAGUAUUUCAAUUUAACCCUUUAAAAGCAAGUAAGUAAAAUUCACUUUGAACCGGUCGAAUUGGCGAUCUAACUAGUGAACCGAUCUGGUUUGAAUAAACCUGCUAGAUAUUUUUUAAAAAAUUUUGUUUAUGAUUGAUUUUUGUAGAUUUUAUAUUUGAUUAUGAAAAAUAAAAUUUAAAACCUUGUAUCUAUUUAAUUUAGUCUAAAAAUGAGUAAAUUGUAUUUAUGCUUCAUACUAGAGAAUCUCAUAAUAAAAAAUGAUGGUAAAAGACUUGAAUUUAAGAUCAGAGUUAAUGAUCUUACUCUAAAUAGUGAAAAAAAUUUUCUGUAAAAAUUUUAUCAUAUUUGAAUUAUUUUACACCGUUAAAUUAACAAACGCAUCACAUCGACCAUUAAAAUUGUCAAUUUUGAAACUUUGUGAUUACUAGCCAAAUGAUAUCAAAAAAUUAUAAAAUUUAAUUUUCAAAUACUUUUAAUAGUGUAGAUCAAGUCUAACGGAGUCGAUCGUUGAUUUGGAAGCCACAUCAUUGAAAACAACUUGGUAGCACGGAGGUCUAUGUGCUACCGAUAGUAUAUAUAUAUACAUCCUACUAAAUCGUUUUAGAUGAUAGAGAUUCCGAAUUGAUGAUUGGAACCGUUAAAGUUGGUAAAUUUGUUUCUAGCAAUUAACCAUGUUAAGUUGAUCAGUAAUUUUUCAUUAUUAGAACUAUUAUGUCUUUUAAAAAAAUUUGUAUGCUUAAAUUAUUUUUUACAGAUUUGAAUUUCUGAUUCAUGGCAAUAAAUAAUAUGGAAGGUAAAGUAGAAAUAUUAAAAAUAAAGUUUAUAGGAAACAAAAAGAAAUAAUAGAAAUACAACUGCUAGACUUUUUAGAAAUACGGAUGAAAAUUCAGAUUUUUCAGGAACUAUAAAAACAUUGAAAAUUAUAAUCUUUCACAUAUAUAUAUAUAUGUAUAUGUAUAUGUAUAUAUAUGUAUAUGUAUAUGUAUAUAUAUGUAUAUGUAUAUGUAUAUAUAUGUAUAUGUAUAUGUAUAUNGAUAUAGAUAAACGGUUGGAUUUGCUUAAUGCUUACUGAAAUCAUCCUAAAAUAUGGCAAAUGAACACAAAUCAAUUCACACCCACUAAUCUUUCCAAACAAAUAAAUUUGAGGGACUCCAAACAGGAACCUUCUCCUAUGAAUCUGUGAGGUGGUAUGUGAAAAUUCAGGACUGAAACUGCUGGCAACUUUAGUGCAUGCUCCUUGUCUUUAAAGUAUCUCCACUUCAGAAUAAGUUGGAUCCAGAGAAGUAUAAAUUACGCGAGUUCGAAUUCCAGUUGGGAGGGCUCAGAUUAAGCUGUAGAGGGCUAUUCCCCUCACCUUUAUAUCAUGUAAGCUUCUAUAAGCCUCGUGUGUUUGUGUCGGACACGCACGUGUCGGUGUCGGACUCGUGUCCGAUGUGGACACUCCUUGGACGCAUAUUUAGGCUUAGUUUGGUAUUGAGACCUAUCUAACACUCUUAAAUAAAAAAUAGAGUAAAAGUAUAUAGGAAUAUGCUUUUACAUUUUUCGGUGGGACCGUAGAAAAUAUAUCGUAAUCGACUCAUCGCGAUAUACGGGAUGUAAUAUUAUGUACGAAAAUAAAUAUGAUAUUUUUUCAACGUAUUUUCUCGCCGCACAUAACGCAAUCUCGCCGUAAUUCCAACCGAAGCCUUAAUGCUGAUUCACAAUGCAUAUAUAUAUAUAGUGCGUCUGGUAUGCUUCUGGAAGCACGGAGCACUCCGUGCUUCCAAGUUGUUUUCGAUGUUCGGACUUUCGAAUCGACAAUCGGCUCCAUUAGACUUGAUCUAGAGUAUUUGAAGUAUUUAGAAAAUAAAAUUUGUGAUUUUUCGAUAUUAUUUGCCUAGUGAUCGAAGUGGCUCAAAAUCAACGGCUGAAAAUAAAAAUUUUACAAAAUACGAUGAUAUGACAUUAAAAUUUUAAAUCAAAGUUAUUGAUCUUGUUUUAUAUGGUAUAAAAAAUUUUCUAUCAAAAUUUCAUGUGAUUUGGAUAUUUCUACACCGUUAAACUUGCAAACGGCUCACCACGGCCAAAAUUAUUGAUUUUGAGCCUCUUCGAUCACUAGGCAAAUGAUAUCGAAAAAUCACAAAAUUUAUUUUCUAGGUACUUCAUAUACUCUAGAUUAACUCUAAUGAAGCCGAUCGUCGAUUCGAAAGUCCCAACAUCGAAAACAACUUGGAAGCACGGAGCCAAAAUCCCCCUACAAG